UACAGAGGGGGCAAGCGUUGUUCGGAAUUACUGGGCGUAAAGGGCGCGUAGGCGGCUUUUCAAGUGACAGGUGAAAUCCCCCGGCUUAACCGAGGAACUGCCUGUCAGACUGGAAGGCUUGAGACCGGGAGAGGUGAGUGGAAUUCCCAGUGUAGCGGUGAAAUGCGUAGAUAUUGGGAGGAACACCAGUGGCGAAGGCGGCUCACUGGACCGGAACUGACGCUGAGGCGCGAAAGCGUGGGGAGCAAACAGG
rnacentral:rRNA from 1 species